AUACAAGAGAGUGGCUGGGAACUGGAUAUUAAGGCCAGCUCUGGCAGAACAAAUGAAAGGCCUUCCACUGUUGCUUGUGAAGAACUCUAACAAAGGUCAGAGAGCAGUAACACUAAGCUUGACAUCAGGCCAAUGUAUUAUGUGUUGUGAUGAAAAGAUUGGUCAACUGAAAGUUCAGAAUCCUCAAUUAUUGAUCUAGGAUGCUGUAUGUGGUUCUUCAUCUUCUGAAUGUUUAUAUAUAUGACUCAAUGCAAAUGAGAUGUCCUCAUGUCACCAGAGUAACAAAUGGCUGGUAAUAGAGAGCUUCCUGUCUACUGUGAAGGGGAAGAAAAUCCUCCACUACAUUCUCCUGUCAAUGCUAUGCUGUGCAGAGGGCCAAGAACUGACUAAACACUCUGAAACUGGGAGCCAAAACAAAACCAUUGUUUAUAUCAGGAAUUUAAGUGUUUACAUCACACAAGAAAGCAAUAACACAGCCAUAUGUUAUAUGAAAUGAUGUACCUGUCUAUUUUUCAUGAAUAUUAAGUUAUGAAUGUUUUCUUCCACUACUCAAAGUACUCAUUAUCAACAGUUACUAUUUAAAUAUUCCUUACUGUAAAUAAUGCUAUCAUGAGGUUUGUGGAUAUUUUCUCCAGUUUGUGCUUUUUCUCUAUGAUAGGAUUCCCUAAAUAAAGUAAAAUACCACAAAUGUUCGAGAUCCUUGAUCAAGAAUAAGAAACCCUAAAGCUUGAAUUUUAUAUAAUUUUGCAAUUUGUAGUACUUUUAUUUCUUUGUAUAGACUUCAAUUAUUGUUGUCAUUCUCAGAAGAAAUUAAUUUGAAUAUUUUUACAGAGUAUUUGUUGUCAACUAAUUCUCUUGGCUUUUAUUUAAGAUACUUACAUUGAGAUGCUUUCAUGUAAUUCUAGAUUGACAUGAUUUUUUUCUUUUAUUAUUUUGAAGUCACUCCAUUAUUUUCUGACUUUCAUGGUGUCAGUUGAGAAAUAACCUUUAAUCCCUUUAUCUGUUACUCUGUAUGUAAUAUAUAAUUUUCCCUUGGCAUCUUCCAAGAUACUCUUUUUAUCUUUGUUCUUAGUGUGACUAUGAGGUAUCUAUAAGUGAUUUAAUUAAAACGCCUCAUGUUUAGGGAUCUCUGAGAAUCUUGGAUAGCUUUGAUGUUUCAUUAUAUCUUAAAAUUUCUCAGGCAUUGUCUCUUUAAAUAUUGGUUUUGCCUUUUCUCUUCUUUUCAGCUCCUCCCCACACCCUUUCCUUUUGUUUCUUUUCCUAGGACAAUAGGUUAUACCAUGUGAUACAUACUAACAAACAGCUCUUGGAAACUCUGUCCCAGACAUUUCCCUUUUUGUAUUUCAGUUUAGAUCAUUUAUAUUAAUCAGUCUUCUAGUUCCCCCAGUCUGUCUUCAAAUACAUUGAUCUUUUAAUAAGCCUAUUGAGGGAAUUCCUCAUUUUAGACAUUUCCAUUUGACUUCAUACUUCUCUUCUUUACUGAAAUUCACAAUAAUUCUUUUCAAUUGCUUUGUUCAAUUAUUUUCAAUGGUUCUGUAAUCUCGAGUUAUUUAAUUUGGAGUUAUUUAAGAAACCUUUUAUGAUGGCUUGACCGGUCUAGCAGGUCAGGUUAUUCGAGGGUCUCGAGGAGGGAACCACCUGAAAGCCAAUGGGGGCGAGAGAAGAAGGAGACCAGGCACAUAAGGAAAGACAGAGUUAGUCUGAGUCGUGUCAAGGUCUCGUUUAUUGGCAGUAUGUUGCAGCUUAUAAGCAGGAUUUCAGGCAGGGAGGGGGAGCAGGGAAAGGAGAGUGGAAAAAUUUUGAGAAGAAGUUAGGGUGGUCAGGGUGGGUGUUUCUUUGGUCCCAGGCUUCUGUAGCUGGCUGAUUACAGUUUAUGCCAAGUGGUUUAUCUAAACGUACAUUUUGCAGUUAGGCCAAGGACGCCCUGUUUUUGCAAGACUCCACGAAGCAGAAAACUCAAGACAUAACAGUCCUGGGUCAAACAGUCCUGAGUCAGUCUCCAACAAUGGCUCCAUAAUUUGACUCUAUUAAUUGCUUUUACUUUUGAUGUUGGAUCACCUUUUGUGUGUUUUAUUAUUUUUGAUUGACUGCUAAGUAUUAUGUUAGCAGUAUAGACUUGUACUAAUAAUAUUUACAUGUAUAAACAGGCACAGCUUCUUCUCUUAGGCAGUUAGUAUAAAUAUGGGAAACUGAGCAAAACUAGUUAGCAAAUAAAGUAGUUGGGGUUUCAUUUUUGCUGACUGAACCUUCAGAGCUCUGUAGGUUUUGAUUGUGUUUGGAAAUGGGCUGCUUUGAUAUAGUUCUUAAAUUAAAGACCCACAUGACUAAAAGGAUUUUGUUGGUAUUUUCUCUUCUCUCUAGGCUUUUCCAUUUUAUUUUAUUUUAUUUUUCUUUAUUCUUCUCUUACACAAUACACCCUGACCACAGCCUCCCCUCUCUUCCCUCCUUCUCAGCCCCUCCACACCUCCUUUCUCCCCCAAAUGCAACUGCUCCCCCAUUUCCCUCAGAAAAAAGGCCUCCCAAGUAUAUCCACCAAAUGUGGCAUAACAAGAUGCAACUAGGCAUAAACCCUCAUAUCAAGACUGGAGGAAAAGAGCCCCACGAGCAGAUGAAAGAAUUAGAGAGCUUUAGGGAAUGCCUAGGAAGAGGAGGCAGAAAGAAUGUAAGAGCCAGUGGGGACAGCUGACACCAAGUCCUUCUAAAUCAACUGAACAAAAUUCACAUGAACUCACAGAGACUGAAACAGCAAGAACAGGGAUGAUAUGGAUCUGUAUCAUGUCUUCUGUGUAUAUCUUAAAGCUUUAAGUUUAGCAUUUUUAUGGGAAUUCCUGAGUGCGUGAACUAGUGAGUCUCUGAUUCUUGUGCCUCUUCCUGGGGCUCUUUUAUUUUCAUUUUAACUUGUCUUGUACAACUUUGAUAUGAUGUUUUUACUUUAUCUUAUUAUAUUUUAUUGUUAUCUCAUAAAAAGCCUGUUUUUUUUUAAUGUGAGACAGAAAAGGAGUGAGUGGAUCCAGCAGUAAGAGGAGGUGGGGAAGACCUGGGAGUAGCAGAGGGAGGAAAAAAAUAUUUUCGUAUUACAUU